CAGAAAGAGAGAAUCCCAAGCGUUGAGCAGGGAGCUGGAUGUCGGGCUCGAUCUCACGACACUGAGAUCAUGACCUGAGCUGAAAUCAAGAGUCAGGUGCUCAACCAACUGAGCCCCCCCACCCCCUCCCCCAAAAUACUAAUUUAUCUUGAAGAUAACUACGUUAUUUUCAUCCCUAAAUUCUGCCCAGCCUGACAUUCAAGCAAUAUCUGCUAACUGAUGUGACACCCUGUAGCUACCCACAGGGUGACUCCAAUUGACUCAAGCCCAGAAGAUGAGACCAUCAUUGUCUGGAGGCCAUUGCGUCUUCCCUAGGAGCUUGGCCCUGCAUGGCCUAACCCCCCAGGCAUCUCUCUGGCUCUUGGAGGCUCCUCUUGUCCAUAGACAACCCACCAGAGAAGGGGGUAACUGUGAGCACUUAACAACUAACAUCUGAAGCAGUUGGGGAAAUGGAUACACCCGCUGACAGAAGAUCUGAACCAGGCAGCUACUCCCCUGUGGAGCAGGAAAAUUCACGUUUCCUGCAACUUGCUGAACCAUUUUGUUGCUGAAGGGCCCCCGGACCAGUGCACCCCAGAAAGAGCCGAGGUGAUAUAUUCUCCAAUAUUUUUGCUAAUGCUAUUAUGGUUUUGUGCGUUUAUAUGGUUUAGAUCAUUCAUUUAUCUGAAAUGUAGUUUUGUAAAAGGCGAAAGAUAAAUGCCUAACCUUAUUUUUUUCCAAAAAUAUUAGCUCAUUGCCCUAGCAUCAUUUAUUAUCUUUUCUUCCAGAUAGGAAAUCUACCUUUAUCAAACGCUACACUUGCACAUAUGUAUUAGAUCAAACCAUGUGAGAUCGUUGACAUCUAUCAUCUCCCUCAGCUUUAUUUUCCCAAUGAUCCCAGUCACUACUAGAUGUCAUAUUACAUAUGUUUGUUUGUCUCUGUCUCUCACUUGAAUGUAAGUUCAGUGAAGGCUGGAGUUUUGUUAUUUUUGUCAUCUCCUGGCUCAUAGGUAUCUGCUAAUCGAAAUAACAAAAUUUAUCCUUGAACCUGUUAAUAUUCAUGGAUGAGCCUUUUAAUGCUGGGCCAUCCUUAUAUAUGUUAGAAAAGCCAAGUUGGUUAUGACAUACUGUUCUUUAGGCACACUGCUCCCCUCUACUUACGUCUUUUGUGUCUGUGAUCCUAAAAGAGCUUGGAUUUCUCUUGUCCUUGUUCCUUCUCCCACCAUCCAGUCUGGGCAUCAGGACUGAGAAGCAGGGCUUUUAAAAAAAAGAGAUAGGCAUGGCCUGGAAGUGGACACAGGGUGGGAACUAUUGGGAGAGCUUGGAGCGUCUCUGCACAUUCUUUCUGGGUAUGCCAAGAAUGCAAGGUCCUAACUGUUCUUAGCCUGUGCCGUAUCUCAGGCUUAUGUUUGCAGAGCAACUCUGAGGAAUGUAGUAAUAUCUCCCUCCAGGACAAAGCGCAGGCUUGCCUAUUUCCUGCUAUAAAAGAGGUAGGUCCCCCAGGCUCAGUGUUCCUCAGCUGCAACACAAACCUGUUGCACGCACAGCGUCCCCUGAGGUCCUUCACAUUGUCCCUGUGGGACUUGGCGGGGGGAGGGGGGCAGGGAGCCAAUGUAAACGUUAUGUUUAUUUUACUUACUGUGCCAUGAGUAAUAAAGUUCUUAGUCUCUGACCCAGGAGCCUCGUCUUGGCCAGCAUCCAUGAAACCGUAAGAGGCCAAUUAAUCACUUACCAGCAGGAUAAAUUCAAAUGCCAGACCCUGAUGGUUUUGGCAGUGAGGAUGGGAUGCUGACAGAGACAGGGCUUUCUGGAAGAGGCAGGACCCUGUGGACGAGGCCAGGAGUUAUGAAGAGAUUCCCUGGCAUAUGUUAGUGAACCCUCUCCCCCACGUGGUGGGCAGCAGGGCAAGAGCUGCUCAAGGGAGCGUCUCACACUGGCCUACCUGUCAAGCAGUGAGAGGUAGGACUGUUAAAUACGCCACCAGAAUGGUGCUUUGGUUCCCGCUUAUUCUCCUCCAUGCAGGAGGUGGAAGGGAUUUGUUUUUUUUUAAUGUUUAUUUACUUUUGAGCAAGAGAGAGAGAGGGGGGGGGACUGAGAGUGUGA